rnacentral:ribozyme from 1 species
AUCAUCGUACUUGUCAUCGUCGACCUGGCACUGCCAAUCCCGAUUGUGUGAUUUAAAAUUAAAAAUUUGUUUGAAUGUGAAAA